rnacentral:rRNA from 1 species
GACGAACGCUGGCGGCGUGCUUAACACAUGCAAGUCGAACGGAAAGGCCCUGCUUUUGUGGGGUGCUCGAGUGGCGAACGGGUGAGUAACACGUGAGUAACCUGCCCUUGACUUUGGGAUAACUUCAGGAAACUGGGGCUAAUACCGGAUAUGAGCUCCUGCUGCAUGGUGGGGGUUGGAAAGUUUCGGCGGUUGGGGAUGGACUCGCGGCUUAUCAGCUUGUUGGUGGGGUAGUGGCUUACCAAGGCUUUGACGGGUAGCCGGCCUGGGAGGGUGACCGGCCACAUUGGGACUGAGAUACGGCCCAGACUCCUACGGGAGGCAGCAGUGGGGAAUAUUGCACAAUGGGCGGAAGCCUGAUGCAGCAACGCCGCGUGCGGGAUGACGGCCUUCGGGUUGUAAACCGCUUUCGCCUGUGACGAAGCGUGAGUGACGGUAAUGUGUAAAGAAGCACCGGCUAACUACGUG